rnacentral:rRNA from 1 species
UUAAGCGACUAAGCGUACACGGUGGAUGCCCUGGCAGUCAGAGGCGAUGAAGGACGUGCUAAUCUGCGAUAAGCGUCGGUGAGGUGAUAUGAACCGUUAUAACCGGCGAUUUCCGAAUGGGGAAACCCAGUGUGUUUCGACACACUAUCAUUAACUGAAUCCAUAGGUUAAUGAGGCGAACCGGGGGAACUGAAACAUCUAAGUACCCCGAGGAAAAGAAAUCAACCGAGAUUCCCCCAGUAGCGGCGAGCGAACGGGGAGGAGCCCAGAGCCUGAAUCAGUGUGUGUGUUAGUGGAAGCGUCUGGAAAGGCGCGCGAUACAGGGUGACAGCCCCGUACACAAAAAUGCACACAUUGUGAGCUCGAUGAGUAGGGCGGGACACGUGGUAUCCUGUCUGAAUAUGGGGGGACCAUCCUCCAAGGCUAAAUACUCCUGACUGACCGAUAGUGAACCAGUACCGUGAGGGAAAGGCGAAAAGAACCCCGGCGAGGGGAGUGAAAAAGAACCUGAAACCGUGUACGUACAAGCAGUGGGAGCCUCUUAAUGGGGUGACUGCGUACCUUUUGUAUAAUGGGUCAGCGACUUAUAUUCUGUAGCAAGGUUAACCGAAUAGGGGAGCCGAAGGGAAACCGAGUCUUAACUGGGCGUUAAGUUGCAGGGUAUAGACCCGAAACCCGGUGAUCUAGCCAUGGGCAGGUUGAAGGUUGGGUAACACUAACUGGAGGACCGAACCGACUAAUGUUGAAAAAUUAGCGGAUGACUUGUGGCUGGGGGUGAAAGGCCAAUCAAACCGGGAGAUAGCUGGUUCUCCCCGAAAGCUAUUUAGGUAGCGCCUCGUGAAUUCAUCUCCGGGGGUAGAGCACUGUUUCGGCAAGGGGGUCAUCCCGACUUACCAACCCGAUGCAAACUGCGAAUACCGGAGAAUGUUAUCACGGGAGACACACGGCGGGUGCUAACGUCCGUCGUGAAGAGGGAAACAACCCAGACCGCCAGCUAAGGUCCCAAAGUCAUGGUUAAGUGGGAAACGAUGUGGGAAGGCCCAGACAGCCAGGAUGUUGGCUUAGAAGCAGCCAUCAUUUAAAGAAAGCGUAAUAGCUCACUGGUCGAGUCGGCCUGCGCGGAAGAUGUAACGGGGCUAAACCAUGCACCGAAGCUGCGGCAGCGACGCUUAUGCGUUGUUGGGUAGGGGAGCGUUCUGUAAGCCUGUGAAGGUGGCCUGUGAGGGUUGCUGGAGGUAUCAGAAGUGCGAAUGCUGACAUAAGUAACGAUAAAGCGGGUGAAAAGCCCGCUCGCCGGAAGACCAAGGGUUCCUGUCCAACGUUAAUCGGGGCAGGGUGAGUCGACCCCUAAGGCGAGGCCGAAAGGCGUAGUCGAUGGGAAACAGGUUAAUAUUCCUGUACUUGGUGUUACUGCGAAGGGGGGACGGAGAAGGCUAUGUUGGCCGGGCGACGGUUGUCCCGGUUUAAGCGUGUAGGCUGGUUUUCCAGGCAAAUCCGGAAAACCAAGGCUGAGGCGUGAUGACGAGGCACUACGGUGCUGAAGCGACAAAUGCCCUGCUUCCAGGAAAAGCCUCUAAGCAUCAGGUAACAUCAAAUCGUACCCCAAACCGACACAGGUGGUCAGGUAGAGAAUACCAAGGCGCUUGAGAGAACUCGGGUGAAGGAACUAGGCAAAAUGGUGCCGUAACUUCGGGAGAAGGCACGCUGAUAUGUAGGUGAAGCGACUUGCUCGUGGAGCUGAAAUCAGUCGAAGAUACCAGCUGGCUGCAACUGUUUAUUAAAAACACAGCACUGUGCAAACACGAAAGUGGACGUAUACGGUGUGACGCCUGCCCGGUGCCGGAAGGUUAAUUGAUGGGGUUAGCGGCAACGCGAAGCUCUUGAUCGAAGCCCCGGUAAACGGCGGCCGUAACUAUAACGGUCCUAAGGUAGCGAAAUUCCUUGUCGGGUAAGUUCCGACCUGCACGAAUGGCGUAAUGAUGGCCAGGCUGUCUCCACCCGAGACUCAGUGAAAUUGAACUCGCUGUGAAGAUGCAGUGUACCCGCGGCAAGACGGAAAGACCCCGUGAACCUUUACUAUAGCUUGACACUGAACAUUGAGCCUUGAUGUGUAGGAUAGGUGGGAGGCUUUGAAGUGUGGACGCCAGUCUGCAUGGAGCCG